GAAUUGAGAUUACUUCAAUCUGAGACAUAAUUUGUUUGACCUUUGCUGUUUUUAUACAUGUCCCUCGUAGGCACAGCCAUGAAAGGACAUUUAACCAGAGUUCAGUAGUUAGAGAUGUGACCACCAGAUGGUGGUGCACCUCUGCUGAUCAGAACAUGUGGAGGGUUCAUGUGAGUGGGUUCUGAAUGCAUAGGCUUUUGGCAGAAGCAGAGCCUUUUUCUUAUUGGCUGGGUAGACAAUGAAAGAAACCACUAGAGAAAAGAAGGGAUCACUUGGUAACAGAAGCAGGUCUCCUGGUUGGAGACUGCAGGUCCACAAUUGAUCCUAAAUGGGAAAAACAAUGAAGACACCCAUUGGAGUUUUGAUCACGUUCUUAUGGCUGCAGCUGGACUGUGUCAGCCUUGGAAACGAGGUGGAGCAGAGUCCUUCUACCCUGAGUGUCCAGGAGGGCAACAGCUCUGUUAUCACCUGCACUUACACAGACACAGCUUCAGACUACUUCCCUUGGUAUAAACAAGAACCUGGGAAAGGUCCCCAGCUCCUUAUAGCUAUUCAUUCAAAUAUGGGUGAAAAAAAAGACCAGCGACUGACUGUUUUAUUGAAUAAGACCGCCAAACAUCUCUCCCUGCACAUCGCAACCAUCCAACCUGGAGACUCAGCUGUCUACUUCUGUGCAGCAAGGACACAGUGCUUCCCAGGCGCCCGCUACCUGUACUCAUACUUGUGACUGGGGCAGCCCCCCUCCUUUGGUGCAACCUUCAAAGUAGCAUUUGUCAUAUUGUGUGUCUGCAAGUGGAAACUGAUGUGUUAGACAAGCAAAGAAUAAGAAGGUUAGGUUCAAGAUGACCCAGAAAGUAUGACACAUUUUAUGGAUAAUUGCUGCUUACUGAAUUCUUGAAGGGAGUUAGCGUUGUUUUGUUUUGAAAUUGUAAGAGUGCCUUUACAUUUGCCACUCACACUCUUUUCUAUAAAUAACCUCUUGGUAUCAAUUCACAAUCCUUAUUAUGAAUGGGUUUUUUUUAAU